GCCGACGGGCUUCGCGUCCCUGAGCUCCACCGGCCGAGCGUUUGUUCGGGGCCUCUGCUUCAGCGACACCACGGUGCAGUCGUCCGACUGCCUCAGCUGCCAGUCCGUCGCGGCCAGGAACCUCACCAUCGGCCGCCGCCAUUACCGGAAGCAUCUCCUCUGUGCAGUUAUACAGAUCCCGGUUUAUUCGCGAGAUCUUGAAGUGUAUACUGGAAAAACCUCGCUAUGUCACCGUGGACCGUGUUCAAAGGAGAAGAAGCCAAUCCAGAUUCGUAUCUACAAAGUGAUGAUCCCGCCGGAGAUUCUGAGUUUGGAAACGAGAGCUACGCCGACCACGACGCCUUCCUGGACCUGCAUCGAGAGAUCCUUGAUCCGUGCUUCGCUGGGACGGAUCUCAAAACGCAUCAAAGGUGCCGUCAUGGUGAGGCCCCUCAGAGGAAGGUAGCAUUCAACAUGGCUGCUACAGGGAGAAGAUUUCUUGGGUGCCUUCGGCAGGCAUCUGUAUCGCAAUGUCCCUGUGGAGCCAAUCUCGAAUGUGGCAAGUGGUGAAGAUUCUUGGAUUCUGAGCUUGUUUCCGAGGGAGGCAUGUUCCGAGGCAAAGGUCACCAGAUGGAAUCUUUACUUCC